GAUGAACGCUGGCGGCGUGCCUAAUACAUGCAAGUCGAGCGAACAGACGAGGAGCUUGCUCCUCUGACGUUAGCGGCGGACGGGUGAGUAACACGUGGAUAACCUACCUAUAAGACUGGGAUAACUUCGGGAAACCGGAGCUAAUACCGGAUAAUAUAUUGAACCGCAUGGUUCAAUAGUGAAAGACGGUUUUGCUGUCACUUAUAGAUGGAUCCGCGCCGCAUUAGCUAGUUGGUAAGGUAACGGCUUACCAAGGCAACGAUGCGUAGCCGACCUGAGAGGGUGAUAGGCCACACUGGAACUGAGACACGGUCCAGACGCCUACGGGAGGCAGCAGUAGGGAAUCUUCCGCAAUGGGCGAAAGCCUGACGGAGCAACGCCGCGUGAGUGAUGAAGGUCUUCGGAUCGUAAAACUCUGUUAUUAGGGAAGAACAAAUGUGUAAGUAACUAUGCACGUCUUGACGGUACCUAAUCAGAAAGCCACGGCUAACUACGUG
rnacentral:rRNA from 1 species